GGCUUUCCGGCUGGGGAAAAAGCCAUGAGGUCGAUCAGUAAUCAGGGUAAAAUCUAAUGAACUAGUCCCACUGUUGGAACUCUAUCCUUUGGUGGAACAGAUUUCUCAUUCAUAUGAACAAUGUUCGGUCCAUAAGAUCCAGAAGCAGAUAGUGAAAACCAACAUUACACUGUUUACCGAACCCUUGGUGGAGCAGUAGGCUGCAGCUGAGUAACAAUGCACAGGAAUUACAAUACAACAAGUGCUAUCAUGCUUCAAAUUUCAAAAAUAAUGAUGCUUCCUCCCCCCCUCAAUCCUCACAAAAACCCUAGAGCCUUUCACGGAACCCUACGCUUCCAUAGAGGCCCUGCUGAGAAAGGCUGUUGUGGACAUGAAUAGUUGGGCAAGCAUUUAGAUCACCCUUUAAAAAAAAAAUUCCCAGAAAAUAAUGAAGUAUUUUAGUGGAAUAGAAGUGGUGACCGCAACAAGUCCGGUUCAAACAACUCUCCUUGAAAAACUAGAGCAGAGCAGUCUGACCAAAGAAUUAAAGCAGUGGCUCCAGAUGAUUAGAAUGGUAUUCUAUCGCCUUUGUAUCUGGUUUGCUACUAGACCCCAAAUCAUCUCUUGCAUAUAGGUAAUUGUUGUAUUUGCUUAGAAACAUUUUUGUCCUUCCUUCAAUUAUAAAAACCAUUUUCUCAAAUGAUUUACAAAUAAAAC